UACGAAGGGUGCAAGCGUUACUCGGAAUUACUGGGCGUAAAGCGUGCGUAGGUGGUUUGUUAAGUCCGAUGUGAAAGCCCUGGGCUCAACCUGGGAAUGGCAUUGGAUACUGGCAGGCUAGAGUGCGGUAGAGGGCAGUGGAAUUCCCGGUGUAGCAGUGAAAUGCGUAGAUAUCAGGAGGAAUACCGAUGGCGAAGGCAGGUCUCUGGGCUGACACUGACGCUCAUGCACGAAAGCGUGGGGAGCAAACAGG
rnacentral:rRNA from 1 species